rnacentral:lncRNA from 1 species
GUGCCAUGACACCCAGGAUGCAGCUGUAGGAACACCACUGGGUCCCUGGAUGUCAUGUAAGCCCUUAAGUAAAAGUGCCAUCAAAUGAUUUCUCAGAAAUUAUAAAGAAACAAAAGGACCAUAAACAAGAUAAGGUGGCAUGAGGAAACAUUACAAGUACCUUUCAGAGCUGACUGGCAAAGAAACUCCUGAGGUGACGGUUCUACCCCAAUAUUACUUCUUCGAAGAGCAACCUAACUGGACUUAUCUUCCUCAGUUCUCUGUGAUGAACUUUUGUAGAGCCAUACGAAAGGAGGUUUUUAGCUCUCACCUGUGGUCUUUCUUCAUCAUGCACCUCCUAGAUUCAAAAGUUCAGCAGGGACAUGUCAAGCUAUAUAAAUAAAAACAAACUAAGAAAAAAUGUAACAUUCCAUACCUUAAAACGCAACCUUAAUAACGUGAAAGACCCUGAAGGACUUGAGACGUGAAGAUUUUCUACCACGGUCUUUGCCUGUAUUAUUUCUGACAGCUGUUCCUUUCUACUCCCUCUUGCACACAUCUUUAGUUACUCCCUGUUCUCCAUCCCUCUGAUAAAAUCUAGAGUUCCCCCCUCAAAUUAGAAAAUUAAAAAAAAUUAAAAAUCUAAAAUUAAAAUUUAAAAAAUUUUUAAAAAUCUAGAGUUUAAAAAAAAUGUUCUAUCUCAGGCUUGUGAACCAUAUUGUUAGUUCACAAUUAAGAAUGAUGUACAUCUAUUGGACAAGUUUUAAUUAAUUCUUUCCCUUGGCUGAUUAGUAAAUUUCUGCAGUGAGUACAAAUGUUUACUUGGAGGGCUGAAGAAUGCAUUUAUAGCUUUGAUGAUGAACUAGAAGGUCAUGCCCAAAAGAUAUUUGUGUCCAUUUUUUUGGAGAACUGUAAAAGAGUGUAUUAUUGUGAGUUGGAUAAUGGUGCGUUCCUUCUGUACUUAGUAAUUUCAUAGCAAUGAUACAGCUGUGUACUAUAGGAAACCACCCAAACACUUGGGAGAAGUAGAAUACCAAUGUACCAAUGGUUCAUUUCUA